rnacentral:tRNA from 1 species
GCAGUAGCUCAGUGGUGGAGCUUCCGCUUCCUAUGCGGGAAGAUCUGGGUUCGAUUCCCGGCUGC